GCGACAGUAGCUCAGUGGUAGACCCCCCACCUCGCAUGCGGGGAGACCUGGGUUCGAUUCCCGGCUGCUUCC
rfam:Toxocara canis scaffold96, whole genome shotgun sequence.